CCCGCCAUAGUUUAUUUGAAAACAUCGACCUGCAAAAUCGAGAAAGGAAAAACUUCCUGGUGUGU
rnacentral:tRNA from 1 species